GGAUCCAGACUUUGUAUUCUGGCUCAGGACGAACGCUGGCGGCGUGCUUAACACAUGCAAGUCGAACGAUGAAGUUAUGACGGAGGCUUCGGCCGACAGAAUGAUGGAUUAGUGGCGGACGGGUGAGUAACGCGUGAGUAACCUGCCUUUCAGAGAGGAAUAACAUUUGGAAACGAAUGGUAAUACCACAUAACAUUACGUUCUCGCAUGGGGAUGUAAUCAAAGAUUUUAUCGCUGAGAGAUGGACUCGCGUCCGAUUAGCUGGAUGGUGAGGUAACGGCCCACCAUGGCGACGAUCGGUAGCCGGACUGAGAGGUUGAACGGCCACAUUGGGACUGAGACACGGCCCAGACUCCUACGGGAGGCAGCAGUGGGGAAUAUUGCACAAUGGGGGAAACCCUGAUGCAGCAACGCCGCGUGAAGGAAGACGGUCUUCGGAUUGUAAACUUUUGUUCUUGGUGAAGAAGAAUGACGGUAGCCAAGGAGGAAGCCACGGCUAACUACGUGCCAGCAGCCGCGGUAAUACGUAGGUGGCAAGCGUUGUCCGGAAUUACUGGGUGUAAAGGGAGCGCAGGCGGGAAAUCAAGUUGGAUGUGAAAUGUCGGGGCUUAACCCCGGAACUGCAUCCAAAACUGAUAUUCUUGAGUGAAGUAGAGGUAGGCGGAAUUCCGAGUGUAGCGGUGAAAUGCGUAGAUAUUCGGAGGAACACCAGUGGCGAAGGCGGCCUACUGGGCUUUAACUGACGCUGAGGCUCGAAAGUGUGGGGAGCAAACAGGAUUAGAUACCCUGGUAGUCCACACUGUAAACGAUGAUUGCUAGGUGUGGGGGGUCUGACCCCCUCCGUGCAGGAGUUAACGCAAUAAGCAAUCCACCUGGGGAGUACGGC
rnacentral:rRNA from 1 species